UGGGGUAUAGCCAAGUCGGUAAGGCAAUUGGUUUUGAUCCAAUCAUGCGUAGGUUCGAGUCCUGCUACCCCAGCCA
rnacentral:tRNA from 1 species